UGAAAAAAAAAGAAAAAAAAGAAAAUAAAGAAAAAACAGAUUAACCGACUUAACUUGCUAUCAAUUAUUACAACGAUGACGAUUAUGAUCUUCUAUCGAUGCCAUUUAUGUGCCAUUUAUGAAUUAACAAUAAACAUAAUUUGCACGUAAAAUCAUCCUCUUCAUCCCCACCUCCUGAUCAUCCCCUCUUUCCCCUCUUCCUCCCCUAUUCGCAACAUUCUGACAGGACAGGUGAGAGUGAAUCGAGUAAGAAAAAAAGAAAGAUUGUACGCGUACAAGAAAAGGAAAAGGGUACAGAGAAGUGAGGGGUAAUGAUAGGGUGGGGGUUAGGAGGGGGAGUAAAGUAAAGAGAGAGAGAGAGAGAGAAAGAAAUAAGCCCGGACAACGUUGCUGCUGGUGCUGGUGCUGCUCAGCUUUCGUUUUCACCCAGCCUACUUGUUAAUCCGGUCAUGAAAUUAGGUUGCAUCUUUGAAUAAAAAGAAAGAAGAAGAAGAAGAUAUCUCAGAGUGCAAAGUAAAAGGAGAAGGAGGAGGAGGAAGAGGAGGAGGAGGAGGAGAGACUGGAAGAUUAACGGUAGAAUUUUCCGUCCCUCGGAUCGAUAACGCAUAAGCAUUGCAAGGUGAUGAAAUAAAA